rnacentral:rRNA from 1 species
GAUGAACGCUAGCGGCAGGCCUAACACAUGCAAGUCGAGGGGUAGAGUUAGCUUGCUAACUUGAGACCGGCGCACGGGUGCGUAACGCGUAUGCAAUCUACCUUGUACAGGGGGAUAGCCCAGAGAAAUUUGGAUUAAUACCCCAUGGUGUUUAGAAGUGGCAUCACUUUUUUACUAAAGUUCCAACGGUACAAGAUGAGCAUGCGUCCCAUUAGCUAGUUGGUAUGGUAACGGCAUACCAAGGCUAUGAUGGGUAGGGGUCCUGAGAGGGAGAUCCCCCACACUGGUACGAAGACCCGGACCAGACUCCGACGGGAGGCAGCAGUGAGGAAUAUUGGUCAAUGGUCGCAAGACUGAACCAGCCAUGCCGCGUGCAGGAAGACGGUCCUAUGGAUUGUAAACUGCUUUUAUACAGGAAGAAACCCUCUCACGUGUGGGAGCUUGACGGUACUGUAUGAAUAAGCAUCGGCUAACUCCGUGCCAGCCGCCGCCGUAA